UUCAGUUCUCUUGAAUAUGUACCCAGAAGUGGUAUUGCUGGAUUUUAUGAGAGACGGACUCCAUGCAGUUCUGAAGCCUGCCUCGCCUGGAAGCCAGGAUGCUUCUGGGGGCCCCAGACUGGAAAGAGAAGCACAUCUGAGUGGGCUGGCGGGAUUCCGACCUUGGAGGCGUGAAUUCUAGCAGCACCAGGAUUCACACGCUCUGAAGGGAACUGGGAAAUAAAGUCGCCUGCUCUGCUUUAUCGGAGGUGAUCAUCUAAGGCCGCUCCUCUGGCACAAGGAAGGCUUGAGCUCCGCAGUGGAGUUAAUGGGGCAGGAAGGAGAGGUUGCCUCUUGGAUGGGGUGCGUGGACAUCGGUUUCCACUGUAAACAAUCUUUGUGCCCCCAGGGUAAGAAGACCAUUCAUAGGCUUUAGAUUGGAAUGAUUGGGGCAGCAUCAAGUUGGAAGUUGGUUUUGAGAUACAGCAACGCCAUGGCUUAGUAGAGAAUUAGUCUUCUCGGCUUCCUCCAGUCACAGGAGGGUGGCUUCCCCUUUCUGUACUAAGUGGAUUGUGAAAACGUCCCCAGAGAUUUUAUAGCAGUGGACAAGGGGAGGCCCGUUCCUCUAAAAUGAAUGCUUCCAUUGCUUUGGAUGUGAAGAGAGCGAGGAGGUUUUCUUUUGACACAAACCCCAGCCGUCUUGCCUAAGACCCUUCCCACAUUUCCUGACCACUCCUAAUGGGGGGCUGCAGUUUGGCAGCGGGAAACUGGGUGUUGGACAUGGCUGGAUUUGGAGGACCUUACUUCCUACUUCACAGAUAAGAGGGUCUACUUAAUGAAACCAACCCAAACUUGUCUCUCCUGUCAGUGAUAUGCUGCCCCUUGCAUCUUUCCAAGCUAUCUUCAGUUUGAAUUAAUUAACAUUCUUGCAUUCAGUAUCUAUUUAUUGAGCUUCCUCCAGAAGCCCAGCCCUGAGGUCAGCUCCACGGACAGAGGAGUACAUGGCUGUGCUCCUGGAACUCAUGGUCCAGGAGGCAGGCAGGUAGUAAUCAAAUAAUCAGUACAAGAAGUGUAUGCCACAAACUCUAACAAAUGCUAUGGAGGAAAUCUAAUCAUCCCUUUUAAGAUCCAGUCUUGGCACAUUAACAUCUGUGAAUACCUACGCCACAUAGCUCUUUGACCAACAUCUGUCUAGAAACACGGUCCACAAACCAAACCAAACUCCUCCCCACUCUGUCUCUCCCCCUGCUCCAAAAUCCCAGCUCUCUGAAAUAAAUGAACAAUCCCUAUUGUUGUGACAGAA